rnacentral:sRNA from 1 species
CGCCGAAGCCCUGAUCGGGCAACAGGUCAAGAAUCGAAAAGGCCGGCCCGAAAGGGUCGGCCUUUUUCUUUUGAGCA